GUGCAACUGUUUACUGCUCUCCUUUGUGGCAUUGUGCCAGCGGUUCUCUCCUGCUUUUGUAGAUUUGGAGUUGGUGGGCCGACCCUUCAUUCGGCCUUCAAAUACAUUAUUAUUGCUCCACUCAAAAUCCAAUCUUCCAUUCUGGGUAGCCUAAAGAUUAGGUUGCUCUUCUGAUCUGAAACCUUCUUGAGAGAGAGAGAGAGAGCCAUGGCUGAGAAGCCUGAAGUUCUUGAUGCUGUGUUGAAGGAAACUGUGGAUUUGGAAAACAUACCCAUUGAAGAAGUGUUUGAGAAUCUGAGAUGCACUAAAGAUGGCCUUACUAGUCAGGCUGCCCAAGAGAGGUUGGACAUUUUUGGGCAUAAUAAGCUCGAGGAGAAGAAGG